rnacentral:lncRNA from 1 species
AAAAUCAAACCUUAGCCGCCAUUUGACCACCCCAAACGGCGAUCAACAGAGAGUGAUCUACUCACUCUUUAACCCCGUUUAGAUCCAUAUGCAAGGAUCUAACACUUUCCACCAUGAAGAAUCAAAAAGGAAGUCCUCACCCUUGUUGGAUUUGAUUUUAACGGAGAAGAACUCUGAUGAUACACCAAGGAUUCAAGGCUCGGGUAAGUUACUUUCUUUCAUCCCUUUCCUCUCAUUUCCCUUUGUAAACAAUCCCAAAAUACCAAAACAAGAGAAGACUUGCCAGAAAGAAGAACUGCUAAAUAUUAAAUCAAAUUAAAAAAGAAAAUCACCUUCGUAAAAUUUUUUCACUGGAUUUACUUUUCUAUUUAUUUGUAUACAUGUAUGUGUAACAAACUAAUACAUUGUUUAUGGCUUUAUAGUCGAAAUCCAAAAAAAUAAAAAUACAAUUUUUCCUCUCUUUUUUUCUUCGUAUUUUUUGUUGUCCUCUUAUUUGUUUGUAGGUACUGCGUUUGCUGACUCGUACGGAGGUACAGAGAUGGCGUACGAUGCACUGAUGUGGCGUGCGGUGGUGGAGCUUGAAGCUUGGGGGCUUGGCUGCGGCGUAAAGGGAACCAUAAGGUUCCUGAGGAUUGCUUGACCUUUGGGCCAUUUGGGCCAAUGCAAUUUUG